rnacentral:rRNA from 1 species
GACGAACCGUGCGAACGUUGUUCGGAAUCACUGGGCGUAAAGGGUGCGUAGGCGGGUCUUUUAAGUCAGGGGUGAAAUCCUGGAGCUCAACUCCAGAACUGCCUUUGAUACUGAAGAUCUUGAGUUCGGGAGAGGUGAGUGGAACUGCGAGUGUAGAGGUGAAAUUCGUAGAUAUUCGCAAGAACACCAGUGGCGAAGGCGGCUCACUGGCCCGAUACUGACGCUGAGGCACGAAAGCGUGGGGGAGCAAACAGGG